rnacentral:tRNA from 1 species
GGGCUCGUGGUGUAGGGGCCUAACAUGCCUCCCUGUCACGGAGGAGAUCGCCGGUUCGAAUCCGGUCGGGCCCGCCA